rnacentral:tRNA from 1 species
UCCCCGAUAGCUCAGUUGGUAGAGCAGGCGGCUGUUAACCGCCGGGUCCCAGGUUCGAGCCCUGGUCGGGGAG